CAGCAGCCACGGGAAUACGGAGGGUGCAAGCGUUAUCCGGAUUUAUUGGGUUUAAAGGGUCCGUAGGCGGAUCUGUAAGUCAGUGGUGAAAUCUCACAGCUUAACUGUGAAACUGCCAUUGAUACUGCAGGUCUUGAGUAAAUUUGAAGUGGCUGGAAUAAGUAGUGUAGCGGUGAAAUGCAUAGAUAUUACUUAGAACACCAAUUGCGAAGGCAGGUCACUAAGAUUUAACUGACGCUGAUGGACGAAAGCGUGGGGAGCGAACAGGAUUAGAUACCCCGGUAGUCCCUGUCUCUUAUAA
rnacentral:rRNA from 1 species